AUUGAACGCUGGCGGCAGGCCUAACACAUGCAAGUCGAACGAGUGGCGGACGGGUGAGUAAUGUCUGGGAAACUUCCUGAUGGAGGGGGAUAACUACUGGAAACGGUAGCUAAUACCGCAUACCAUCGGAUGUUCCCAGAUGGGAUUAGCUAGUAGGUGGGGUAAAGGCGCACCUAGGCGACGAUCCCUAGCUGGUCUGAGAGGAUGAACAGCCACACUGGAAAUGAGACACGGUCCAGAAGCCUACGGGAGGCAGCAGUGGGGAAUAGGGAACAAUGGGCGCAAGCCUGAUGCAGCCAUGCCGCGUGUAUGAAGAAGGCCUUCGGGUUGUAAAGUACUGUCAGCGGGGAGGCGUUACCCGCAGAAGAAGCAACGGCUAACUCCGUGCCAGCAGCCGCGGUAAUAC
rnacentral:rRNA from 1 species